UAUGUGAAUUGCAGAUUUAUUUAUUUCAUAUUUCAAUUGUUAUUCCGCAUUGAUAGGCUUACCUAGUCUUAAAAACUAGGUGCCAUCACGACAUCCUACAGAGGAAAUUUGGGGUCGUCACAAGUUGAUAUCAGAGGUCUAGGUUCAUAGGUGUUAUGAGUCACAAGCAGGUUUAGUAGAGUCUCGCGGAUCGGUACAGAGACGUCUAUACUUAUCUUCGGGAGGCUAUGAAACUGUUAGAAAAAUAUUCACUUCUUUGAUUCCUUAUCGUGCACAUUUGUUGACUUCAAAAUUUUAAACCAUUGUCUUUCUAUUAUCUCACAGAUGGUGAGGACAUGCACAACUAUAUCCGAUGAUCAGACAUCCGCGCCCCCCGUUAGAGUCGCAAGAGGCUGCGGUCGGGGCAGAGGCCGAGCCAGAGGAAGACCACGUGGUGCAGCCAGAGUACUCGCACGAGCUGCUGCAGAGGAACCACAAGUAGCUCUAGUUGGAGAACAUGCACCUGAGACGCCUGAUACUACUCCUGCACUUCAGGAAACUCUUGCCUAGUUUUUGAGCAUGUUUGGCACUCUAGCUCAGGCAGGGUUAAUUCCACUUGCUCCUGCCACAUCUCAAGCUGGGGGAGGAGCACAGACUCCCGCGCGCCCGUACCCCAGAGCCACGGGCCCAGGUUAACCAUGCCCCAGAGGUUAUACCAGUGCAACCAGUUGUCCCCUUCUAUCAUUAUUAUGUUGCUUCCUUAUUUUCCUUAGACCCUGAUAUAUAGAUAUAUUGAGGAUAAAUUCUUAAAAACUUGUGACUUAUUUCUACUGGGUUUUGGGAGUUGUAAUUAUGUGAAUUGCAGAUUUAUUUAUUUCAUAUUUCAAUUGUUAUUCCGCAUUGAUAGGCUUACCUAGUCUUAAAAACUAGGUGCCAUCACGACUUCCUACGGAGGAAUUUGGGAUCGUGACAAUAUGGCUCACAGACUUCAGCAAAUGAGAGAUGACCAAGGCAAUUGCGUCACCUCCUUGUACUUAAAAUCUGUGGUACUAAUUUGUUAUAACUUCUUUCCCUGCUUGUACUAUCCCAGGCUUAUUGAAAUAAAUUGCAGAUGACGUUUUACUAAUAAACGGUCUGCACAUGAUUGAAGACCUCAUUUGAGAGAUGGAGCUGCCGACUGACUUCAUCAAUUUAAUAGUCUUCUCAAAAUUCCUAAAUUAUGAACAUAAAACUAUCUGAAGAGAAGAAAAGCUCAUAGGUGUAUCUGUAUCACACACUGCUUCAUACUUCUCCGUUAUCCAGCAGCCCCAAUUAACUAUCUCUGACGAAUUAUUCCUUUUUUUAAUAACCAUAGUGUCCAGGCCAGCUUAUGCACACCUCAACUAAUUCCACAAGUUACCUGCAAAGAUCUGUUCCAGUAGGAAUUUUGAGUUGUCAUGACAUAGAAUCAUUAAACUAUGCUACAUACUCGGUAAAUCAAGGUUUUAGACAUCACACUGAAAGCAAAGUUUUUAUAAAAUCAUGACAUAAGGAAAAAAAAAAGUCAUCCAAUCAGGUAAAUUAUGUAAGAAAAAAUCAAGAAAUGGCACCCCAAAUGAUUGUUUACUUUACCAUUGAGGCAAUCUUUUUAAAGACAAAAUCAAUUCGCAUUUAGCAUCGCCUCUUUAGCUCCUAGGUUUAUAUACCAAAACAGCCCAAAAAAAAGAGUUUAUCGUGAACACUUUAAAGAGGUAACAAACCACAUCUUCAAGUGAACCAACUCCAAAACGUUUUAGUAUAAUAAAGUUAGCAGCACCAUAAUAAAUAUUUACACUUUUAAAUUAUUGUGUCAAAGGAAAAACUUACUGAAAACCUAGAUAAAGUCUUUAAAUUGCAAUGCACAGUACGUCAACGUUGUUUUCAAUUGGAGUAAAGGAAUGAAUUGUACAGAAUACAUAUACUUUCUUUUCUUUCUUUUUCCUUUCAAAAUACAGAUGCUUUCCUUGGCGGCUAGAUAGAAAGUAGAUGUAGCGAAAUUAAAUCCUAGAAACCGAUCAACAAAGGUGCUAUGUUGUCAUUGAACAAUUUUAAAGUCAAUAAACAUGAAGCAUGUUAUCACGGGCCCGUUUUCUUACGCUCGCAAGCGGCACCGACUCGCCCGUGCGGCGCCUGCAGUUCCCCUCGCUGCAGGCCAGCCUUCGUCCUUUCCCAGGUUUUCAAGCACGAUCCUGUGCCUGUUGGUGGGACUCGCCCAUGAGGCUCGCCCCAACUUGUGCCGCCCGUAAGAUGUCUAGGCACUUGGCCCUAGACAUGUUGUGGCGCUGCAUCUUAGGAUCACAAUCCAUGCGCGCCCUGGGGGAUUGGCUUAGGACAUGUCUUGUCCCUCGCCCAAGACUGAGCAUCGCACCCGCGUGCACAGCCCAAUCCUCAAGCUUGACAUUCGCCUAGUGCAUCCGCGACUAGCUCGUGCUCUGCCCGAGUAAGGAAACCUUUAGUCUUUGGCCACUGUCAUGCGCGUCUUUCGUGCCAUGCCCAUACAUAGCCCUCGCGACACGCUUCCAUUCCGAAUAGUGCAGUGUCGCCCCACAACUGCACCUUUAGGCCAACAGACCCUUGCUUGCAUGGUUGAACCCAAGCCAUGCUCACAAGUCGACACAUGAUGCCUCUAUGACAGGUGUGUCGAGUAUCCAAUCGGCACGGAUGUCCUUCCAACAUUCGACAGCCCGCGGGGCUGGUCGUCCCACACAUCGAGCCUCCAGCGCCUACUUGAUGCCCAACGCUAGCCCGAAGGCGUUGCGCCGUCCAUAGAGUUCCCUAACUCGUUUGGAUACCUAGGACACUCCUUUGAGUCAUCCAGGCAGGCCCUUGAGGUUGCCCCUAAGGUAGCUCGUUCAAUACGGCUUGGUGGAAACACGUAUGGGGGAGGCAGGUCGGAGCUUUCAUCACCUAUACCCCCUUAUAUAUGCUUAAAAUUAAAAAUACCAAGUUGCCCGAGUAGAAAGAUCCACGUCAGACAAUCAGAAGAGCCUUUUCUCACCAGUUCUUUGCCGAAGUCAAAACCUCAAUGUGCGGGUUGUGACAAUGUACUAUUAAGAAUGAGAAUCUAUGGAGUAGAAGAAAACACCUUUUAAAUAUCAAACAAGUUUCACUUUAUACUGUGUUUUGCCUACUCUAACUCAUGUCUAAGAUAUUCAAACCAUAGGCAUGCUAAAUGGCCAACUUGUGUUUUAAAGGCUGGACUUGUCGUAGAAAGUAGCAACAUCAUUUUGCUUUCUUAUUCUACUUUCUUUUCUUGUAUCAUCUAUUGGAUCUAAAGAAUUACUGGUCAGUCACUCUUCAUUCAUUUCUAAUAAUCCAUUCUUAGUAAAAUGCCUAGCAAUACCUUGUCUCGGGACAACUUUGGUUGAGUUCGUAUGAUUCACGGGUAAUCAGUUGGCACAGCUUCUCAGCCAGUCAGAGUUAUUUCUUUGAGAAGACUAAUCACCUGAAAAGCCGGAAGAAAGGAGUUGAAAUUAAUUUUUUUAUCAAGAAUAAGGGAGUUGAAACUACUAAACCUGAAUGUAAAAUUCAGCAUAUUUACAUUGGAUAUUGUAAACUAACUGAAUCAAAUGAUACUCAGGAUGAGUCACAUUCUUGCAGAUUAACCAAACAACUAAGAAGAUAUUGAAGUAAGAAAUGCAGAGUUAAAGAAUGAAAAAGAAUAAGUAAUUUUCCUACCAAAGCUUGUCCGGCCAAGAAAUUGAGCUAUCAACCCCUACAGUAGUCUUAGAAUACAGAAUAUUUUUCAAUUGAGAGAGAUAUCGUGUAAGUUUAAUUUCGAGUAGCUUGUCUAAAGGGAGUUCAAAGAAGUCAUACCAAGAUUGAAGAAUGAACUUACUAUAUACAUUGCAAAUGUGAUAAAUUGAACACAAUAAGAUACUUCAUAUUUGUAAAUCACAAAUAUUCUAUUUUCUCCAAUUGGUUUGCCAAUAAAGCACGCUCCUCAACAUUGUCAUAUAUUAAAGUGUGAAAUUAAAUCUAACUUGUGUGACUUUUACCUCAGUUAAAACCAUAAGAAAGUUAUCCAGCACUAUCUCAAUUAAGUACAUGUAUUUCCUUGCAAACUAUUCUUCUUUUUCGGUCUCAUUGUCAAUUUUGGAAGCACAUAUAAAAAUAUUAGGAGCUGAUAAAUCUGUUGCUACGAUCACGUCAUCUAAUGUAGUUACACGACCAUACCAAUCUUCUGUAUUCUAAAAGUUAAAUUUAUUUCUUUGCAAUGACUUGACCAAUCUGUCAUGUGAUAAUAAGUUUCUUCCAGGUAACAUAUGUCCCAAAGCUAACCGAAAUUAAAUAAAAUCAAUCUGUCGUGGCCCACACAAAGAAAACUCGACCUCUUCAACAUUUCUGCAGCCAGAGUCUCAAAUCUUUCCAACCUCACCAACUCCCAAUUCCUUUACUGCCACCCCCUCUAAGUCAGUAUCCAUCUCGACAAUUUCGCGACAUAGCGUCUCUUCCCCUUUUUUCUGAUUUCCCUGUCUUUCUUCUCUUUACUUCUCUUCUGUUAUCAAAUUUCCUAAACCUUAAUCCAAACCAAAAUCCGGAGAAUCCAAUAAAAUAUGUCAAGCAGUUGGUUAUCGCUUUUUAAGAAUUAAAACCGAAAAAAUGCACCUCAUCCUGAAAUCACUUAUAGUAUCGAAUUUCCAUGAAUUCUAUGUUAGCUUUAACUAACAACUUAAUUAAUAUAUGUAGUUUGUUAUAUGUCAGUAAAAAAGCCGCCAUAAGAUUUCUCAAGAUGAAACAGAAAGCUAGCUAAAAGAACCAAGUCGAACUUGUUACCAGAGUAGCACACACAAACGAACAUGAAAUUUCAGCAAAAGCAAGUCUCGCCUCUCAGCAGAACUCGUAAUUUUAUGUUUCAGCAAUGCCAAUACGGAGAACAGCAGGGGGGAGAAAAUGAAUCACCCAGCAGCCGCAAAAAGAAAAUCGACCUGCGCAAAACAGAGUGAGGAAAAGGAUGAGCUGACAAACGGUGAGUCCAACUGCGUUUGCAGCCACGUUUUACAAGACCGACACUCGUCACUCUUUGAAAAUACAUAUCCAGCACUGACUCCAACCCUAUGAGAAUGACCUUAACCCAAAUUACAUAGCUUUAAUUCCAAACCUAAAAGGAAAAACAAAGGGAAUGACAAAGAUCUACCAACACAGACAAAAGGGAAGAUUGAAGAAUUGCACACCACGUGUUUGACAAAGCAAAGUACACCUCAACACCUGAUAGACGCGGCAAACAUCUUAUUACCUCAUCUUCUCUAGUCUUGCUUUGGUGUGAAGAGUUAUAGUGGAAGCAACUUGGGCUUGAGUUCAAUUCGACCAGAACUCUCGAAUACCAAAAACCCAGGAACAAAAUCAACAGCCCACAAUACCAAACUUAGGGAGAAAACGAAGGGGAAAAGAGAGAUUUAUACCUUGAACAAUGUAAAGAGAUGAGAGAGAGAGAGAGCAGGGGGAGAUGAGAAACUGAAGACCGUGCUGGCGCUUAUGUGUUGAACAAAAAGGAUGUACACGGGAACAAUUUUAAGCCACUUAGAGGGCAGAUUUCAAAAAAUAAACCGGAUAGCAGGACGACGAAAAGCACCUCAACUCCCGCUUCUAAAUUAGAAAAUAUACAUUCAUUUGUAACUCAGUUUCUUACUUUAUUGUCUAUAACACUAAUUUUGAUGGUUUAACUCUAUUUUACUAAUCAGUUUUACUCGUUCGAGUACGAACAUUAUUUUAUAGUUGUUUUGACGACGACAUCUAUGAUUUUUC
rnacentral:lncRNA from 1 species